rnacentral:rRNA from 1 species
UACGGGGGGUGCGAGCGUUGUCCGGAAUCACUGGGCGUAAAGCGCACGUAGGCGGCUUUGCAAGUUAGAGGUGAAAGCCCGGGGCUCAACUCCGGAAUUGCCUUUAAAACUGCAUCGCUAGAAUUGUGGAGAGGUAAGUGGAAUUCCGAGUGUAGAGGUGAAAUUCGUAGAUAUUCGGAAGAACACCAGUGGCGAAGGCGACUUACUGGACACAUAUUGACGCUGAGGUGCGAAAGCGUGGGGAGCAAACAGG